rnacentral:rRNA from 1 species
AACGAACGCUGGCGGCAUGCCUAACACAUGCAAGUCGAACGAGACCUUCGGGUCUAGUGGCGCACGGGUGCGUAACGCGUGGGAAUCUGCCCUUCGGUUCGGAAUAACUCAGGGAAACUUGAGCUAAUACCGGAUAAUGACGUAAGUCCAAAGAUUUAUCGCCGAAGGAUGAGCCCGCGUAGGAUUAGCUUGUUGGUGGGGUAAUGGCCCACCAAGGCGACGAUCCUUAGCUGGUCUGAGAGGAUGAUCAGCCACACUGGGACUGAGACACGGCCCAGACUCCUACGGGAGGCAGCAGUGGGGAAUAUUGGACAAUGGGCGAAAGCCUGAUCCAGCAAUGCCGCGUGAGUGAUGAAGGCCUUAGGGUUGUAAAGCUCUUUUACCAGGGAUGAUAAUGACAGUACCUGGAGAAUAAGCUCCGGCUAACUCCGUG